ensembl:lncRNA
AUUUUAAUAGAUGUAUUUUUCUGCUUAAUGGUUAUUUUAAAAAUAAUUUCAGAUGUAAUCUGAAUGCUUAAAAUUGGCUUUUACGAGUAUACAUAAAAAUGCUGAGAAUAUUUUGUAGGAGUUGAAUGCAUUCAUCUCUGUGGAAAUGGCCCUGACAAAGCCAAAUUAUUUGCCUUAUAUCAUCCAUUUCUUUAUAUUUCUAUACUUUCCAAAAGACAUAUUUCCCAACAGGAAACAAGAAAAAGAUCAAUAUUUACAUAACCGUUGUUUUAGUUUAAAACCUGUCAUUUAGUUUAUCAAUUCAGAUUUAAAAGAGAGAACAUUUCUGAAAAGAGUUUUUCCUACACAUUCUCUAUUUGUUUCCUUCUUGAUCACGAAAGGCUUUACUAAGUUUGGCAGCAAUAUCUCCAGGGAUUUGCUUUAAAUUAUUUUUAGUGAUUUGGACAGUUGCCAUUUUAUCACAGAGAUGAAAAGGUGGGAGAUGAGAUUCAGCUGAGGAUGGAAGUUUCUCCCCUAUACGGAGCAAAGGGCUAUUUUAAAGUGAUUUAUGUGGCAGUUUUCUUCUGUGUCACCAUUAUGUCCCUGCUGCCUGAGUGUGACAAGGCAGUGCUUGCUAACAUUUUGGUAAUAAUUUAUUGCGAUGAGAUUUUUGCCUGGAGUUCAGCCUGCAAUCCUUUUAACACUCUGCUAAAAGGCGUAAGUUCUUUCCAGGCUUAUUUAUUUUUCACUUAGGAACUGUGCACGCACAUAAAAACCUGCCGACGUAAAUCUGCAACUUUUCUUUUUGAAUUGCAAGCUGAAUACAGACCAUGACUUGUGCAUAUAAAAAAAUGCAGAAAUAAUGCCCCCCUACUGCGUCACUCCUCUCCAAAUCUUCAAAACCAUUAUCCUUUUCAUUGUUCCCGUGUUUUAAAGGAAUAAAAAUCUCUGGGAAGUUCUUUCUCCUAAGCCAGACCCAGGAAACCCCUCAUGAGAGUCUGACAGGACAACGGAGCAUGCCCAUGCGCAGAAGAAAUAUGUGCAACUUGUGGCCCACAGUUCCUGAUGCCUCAGUUUGCUGUGCCCUAUGAGCACAGGGACUCACGAUGGUGUGGGAGUUCAGAGAACAGGGGCAGCCAAAGACACUUUGAAGUUGGGUGGGAAGCUCUGACAUGCAAGAGAGAGAUGCAGCCGUGCAAGUGACACAGUUAUUUAGGUGAAAAGAGAAGAAGCCUAGAGCAGAAAUGUAAAGACUCCUGCAUGUAAGGGCUGGCAAGAGAAGAAGACGAGUCUUGAAAGAGACUGAGGAAAGGCAUCAAGGGCAAGAGGAGAGGAGGAAGCAUUUCCCACUGAACAUUCUCCGCUGAAAUAGACCAGCGUCCCUUGGAAGAUGGCUGAUCCCAAGACAAGGGAGAUAAGGGAAGAUUCCAGAUGAGCCUGAAAUAUCUGUGAUACCAGAAGGAUCCCUGUGGCUGCUUGGGCAGGAGUGAAAGCAGAGAGGCCUCUGAGAGGUAAAUUCAGUAACUGAAGAGCAAGUAAGUUUCUUUGUUUUGUUUGCUUUAAAUGGAUGACUCUGGUUCCCC